rnacentral:lncRNA from 1 species
UCUAGUCUUUUUUUAUACUUCAAAAUGAAAAGUGGGCUUGGUAGAUUAUGGAAGGCCUCAUUUGUUUAUGGCAACCCCAAAUAUAGAUGUAGAAAGGUGCAAUGACAAAACUUAGCCAACUCAAUUCAUCUAAAUUCUAUGUUGUGGUUAAUUUGUGAUUGAAUGCUAUUGUAGGGUAUAGGGAGAAACAAUGGAGCUUGUUUUAAAAGACCACGUCAUUAGAAAUUUCCAGGAUUUUCUCAAUAGGAGUCAAAUUUAUAUCUUCAAGCUCAAGUUGCAC